CCUGGCUCAGGACGAGCGCUGGCGGCGUGCCUAAUACAUGCAAGUCGAGCGAAUCAAUGGGAGCUUGCUCCCGUUGGUUAGCGGCGGACGGGUGAGUAACACGUGGGCAACCUGCCUGUAAGACUGGGAUAACACCGGGAAACCGGUGCUAAUACCGGAUAAUCCUUUUCUUCUCAUGAGGAAAAGCUGAAAGACGGUUUCGGCUGUCACUUACAGAUGGGCCCGCGGCGCAUUAGCUAGUUGGUGAGGUAAUGGCUCACCAAGGCGACGAUGCGUAGCCGACCUGAGAGGGUGAUCGGCCACACUGGGACUGAGACACGGCCCAGACUCCUACGGGAGGCAGCAGUAGGGAAUCUUCCGCAAUGGACGAAAGUCUGACGGAGCGACGCCGCGUGAGCGAUGAAGGCCUUCGGGUCGUAAAGCUCUGUUGUUAGGGAAGAACAAGUACCGGAGUAACUGCCGGUACCUUGACGGUACCUAACCAGAAAGCCACGGCUAACUACGUGCCAGCAGCCGCGGUAAUACGUAGGUGGCAAGCGUUGUCCGGAAUUAUUGGGCGUAAAGCGCGCGCAGGCGGUCCUUUAAGUCUGAUGUGAAAGCCCACGGCUCAACCGUGGAGGGUCAUUGGAAACUGGGGGACUUGAGUGCAGAAGAGGAAAGCGGAAUUCCACGUGUAGCAGUGAAAUGCGUGGAGAUGUGGAGGAACACCAGUGGCGAAGGCGGCUUUCUGGUCUGUAACUGACGCUGAGGCGCGAAAGCGUGGGGAGCAA
rnacentral:rRNA from 1 species